rnacentral:rRNA from 1 species
UACGUAGGGUCCAAGCGUUGUCCGGAAUUAUUGGGCGUAAAGGGCUCGUAGGCGGUUCGUCACGUCGGGAGUGAAAACUCGGGGCUUAACCCCGAGCCUGCUUCCGAUACGGGCAGACUAGAGGUAGGCAGGGGAGAGCGGAACUCCUGGUGUAGCGGUGGAAUGCGCAGAUAUCAGGAGGAACACCGGUGGCGAAGGCGGGUCUCUGGGCCGAUACUGACGCUGAGAAGCGAAAGCGUGGGGAGCGAACAGG